rnacentral:rRNA from 1 species
AGAGAGAGACAUGCGCGCAUAUCAAUAAGCGGAGGAAAAGAAACUAACAAGGGUUCCCCUAGUAACGGCGAGUGAAGCGGGAAGAGCUCAAAUUUGAAAUCUUAAAGGGUUUCCCUUUACGAAUUGUAGUUUAAAGAAGUGUUUUCUGUUGAGGUUUUGGUAAAAGUUCUUUGGAAUAGGACAUCAUAGAGGGUGAGAAUCCCGUAUUUGACCUUUACUUUCAACUUUGUGAUACACUUUCAAAGAGUCGGAUUGUUUGGGAAUGCAGUCCAAAAUGGGUGGUAAAUUUCAUCUAAAGCUAAAUAUUGGCGAGAGACCGAUAGCGAACAAGUACCGUGAGGGAAAGAUGAAAAGAACUUUGAAAAGGAGAGUUAAACAGUACGUGAAAUUGUCAAAAGGGAAGCGUUUGACACCAGUGUUGUUUUUCUGAAAAUCAAUUAAAGAACUGUUUAUGCUAAGCUGUUUAGACUUUAUCAGCUAUCUGUUUAGUUUUGAGCUUUUCUUUAAUGCACUUUUCAGUUAACAAGUCAACAUCAAUUUCUUUUGCUGUAAAAAAGCUUGAGGAAGGUGGCUUGAGAUUCGUCUUAAGUGUUUAUAGCCUCUUGCCUAUGCAGUCGGAGAGAUUGAGGUCUGCAGCGUAGAUCCUUCGGGGCUAAAUGCAUUCGUGCUAAAGUUAUAGCAUUUUAUAGACAACUUGUUGACUAUGAUUUGUCUUGUAGCUUACUCGCUUAUGUUAUUUUACCUACGCUUAGGAUGUUGACGCAUGAGAUAUACGC